UGGGGAAUAUUGGGCAAUGGGCGAAAGCCUGACCCAGCGACGCCGCGUGAGGGAAGAAGAUCUUCGGAUUGUAAACCUUAGUUGGCAGGGAAGAAGAAAGUGACGGUACCUGCAGAGAAAGCCACGGCUAACUACGUGCCAGCAGCCGCGGUAAUACGUAGGUGGCAAGCGUUAUCCGGAUUUACUGGGUGUAAAGGGUGUGUAGGCGGGAAGGCAAGUCAGAUGUGAAAACUAUGGGCUCAACUCAUAGCCUGCAUUUGAAACUGUUUUUCUUGAGAGUCGGAGAGGUAAGUGGAAUUCCCGGUGUAGAGGUGAAAUUCGUAGAUAUCGGGAGGAACAUCUGUGGCGAAGGCGACUUACUGGACGAUUACUGACGCUGAGACACGAAAGCGUGGGGAGCAAACAGG
rnacentral:rRNA from 2 species